rnacentral:rRNA from 1 species
UCGCGAUUGGCGCUGACCUGUACAUGCAGUCGAGCGAACAGAAGGGAGCUUGCUCCCGGAUGUUAGCGGCGGACGGGUGAGUAACACGUGGGUAACCUGCCUGUAAGACUGGGAUAACUCCGGGAAACCGGAGCUAAUACCGGAUAGUUCCUUGAACCGCAUGGUUCAAGGAUGAAAGACGGUUUCGGCUGUCACUUACAGAUGGACCCGCGGCGCAUUAGCUAGUUGGUGGGGUAAUGGCUCACCAAGGCGACGAUGCGUAGCCGACCUGAGAGGGUGAUCGGCCACACUGGGACUGAGACACGGCCCAGACUCCUACGGGAGGCAGCAGUAGGGAAUCUUCCGCAAUGGACGAAAGUCUGACGGAGCAACGCCGCGUGAGUGAUGAAGGUUUUCGGAUCGUAAAGCUCUGUUGUUAGGGAAGAACAAGUGCGAGAGUAACUGCUCGCACCUUGACGGUACCUAACCAGAAAGCCACGGCUAACUACGUGCCAGCAGCCGCGGUAAUACGUAGGUGGCAAGCGUUGUCCGGAAUUAUUGGGCGUAAAGGGCUCGCAGGCGGUUUCUUAAGUCUGAUGUGAAAGCCCCCGGCUCAACCGGGGAGGGUCAUUGGAAACUGGGAAACUUGAGUGCAGAAGAGGAGAGUGGAAUUCCACGUGUAGCGGUGAAAUGCGUAGAGAUGUGGAGGAACACCAGUGGCGAAGGCGACUCUCUGGUCUGUAACUGACGCUGAGGAGCGAAAGCGUGGGGAGCGAACAGGAUUAGAUACCCUGGUAGUCCACGCCGUAAACGAUGAGUGCUAAGUGUUAGGGGGUUUCCGCCCCUUAGUGCUGCAGCUAACGCAUUAAGCACUCCGCCUGGGGAGUACGGUCGCAAGACUGAAACUCAAAGGAAUUGACGGGGGCCCGCACAAGCGGUGGAGCAUGUGGUUUAAUUCGAAGCAACGCGAAGAACCUUACCAGGUCUUGACAUCCUCUGACAACCCUAGAGAUAGGGCUUUCCCUUCGGGGACAGAAUGACAGGUGGUGCAUGGUUGUCCUCACCUCCUGUCCUGAGAUGUUGGGGUUAAUUCCCGCAACAAGCGCAACCCUUGAUCUUAUUUGCCCCCAUUUUAUUUGGGCCAUCCUAAGGGGGACGGCCGGUGACAAACCGGAAGGAAGGGGGGGGAGGACGUCAAAAUAUCAUGGCCCCUUAUAAACGGGGGUAACACCCGGUUCCAAG